rnacentral:rRNA from 1 species
GGAUAACCUACCCUUAGGACCGGGAUAACCCUGGGAAACUGGGGAUAAUACCGGAUAGGCAAUUUUUCCUGUAAUGGUUUUUUGUUUAAAUGUUUUUUCGCCUAAGGAUGGGUCUGCGGCCGAUUAGGUAGUUGGUUAGGUAAUGGCUUACCAAGCCGUUGAUCGGUACGGGUUGUGAGAGCAAGAGCCCGGAGAUGGAACCUGAGACAAGGUUCCAGGCCCUACGGGGUGCAGCAGGCGCGAAACCUCCGCAAUGUGAGAAAUCGCGAUGGGGGGAUCCCAAGUGCCAUUCUUAACGGGAUGGCUUUUCAUUAGUGUAAAAAGCUUUUGGAAUAAGAGCUGGGCAAGACCGGUGCCAGCCGCCGCGGUAACACCGGCAGCUCUAGUGGUAGCAACUUUUAUUGGGCCUAAAGCGUCCGUAGCCGGUUUAAUAAGUCUCUGGUGAAAUCCUGUAGCUUAACUGUGGGAAUUGCUGGAGAUACUAUUAGACUUGAGACCGGGAGAGGUUAGAGGUACUCCCAGGGUAGAGGUGAAAUUCUGUAAUCCUGGGAGGACCGCCUGUUGCGAAGGCGUCUAACUGGAACGGUUCUGACGGUGAGGGACGAAAGUUAGGGGCGCGAACCGGAUUAGAUACCCGGGUAGUCCUAACUGUAAACGAUGCGGACUUGGUGUUGGGGUGGCUUUGAGCUGUUCCAGUGCCGAAGGGAAGCUGUUAAGUCCGCCGCCUGGGAAGUACGGUCGCAAGACUGAAACUUAA